CAGCAGCCGCGGUAAUACGGAGGGUGCAAGCGUUAAUCGGAAUUACUGGGCGUAAAGCGUGCGUAGGCGGUUCGUUAAGACAGAUGUGAAAUCCCCGGGCUUAACCUGGGAACUGCAUUUGUGACUGGCGAGCUAGAGUAUGGCAGAGGGGGGUAGAAUUCCACGUGUAGCAGUGAAAUGCGUAGAGAUGUGGAGGAAUACCGAUGGCGAAGGCAGCCCCCUGGGCCAAUACUGACGCUCAUGCACGAAAGCGUGGGGAGCAAACAGGAUUAGAUACCCGAGUAGUCCCUGUCUCUUAUAC
rnacentral:rRNA from 1 species